CAAGUCGAGCGAAUUUUGGCAGCACACCGCCAGAGUUAGCGGCAGACGGGUGAGUAAUACUUGGGCAAUCUGCCCUUGAGUGGGGGACAACCUGCCGAAAGGCGGGCUAAUACCCCAUAAGACCACGGGAAUGCAUAUUCCAGGGGUCAAAGCUCCGUAAGGGGCGCUUAAGGAGGAGCCCGAGUCCUAUCAUGGUAGUUGGCGGGGUAAUGGCCCACCAAGCCGUUGACGGGUAGCCGGCCUGAAAGGGCAACCGGCCACACUGGCACUGAGACACGGGCCAGACUCCUACGGGAGGCAGCAGUGGGGAAUUUUGGACAAUGGGGGCAACCCUGAUCCAGCGACGCCGCGUGAAGGAUGAAGGUCUUCGGAUUGUAAACUUCUUUUAGAGGGGAUGAAUGCCCUGGUGAAUAGCCAGGGGUGACAGUACCCUUUGAAUAAGCCACGGCUAACUACGUGCCAGCAGCCGCGGUAAUACGUAGGUGGCAAGCGUUACUCGGAAUCACUAGGCGUAAAGCGCAGGUAGGAGGUUUAGUAAGUCUGUUGUGAAAGCUCCCGGCUUAACUGGGAGAGGUCAACGGAAACUGCUAGGCUGGAGUGCGGUAGAGGUAGCUGGAAUUCCCGGUGUAGCGGUGAAAUGCGUAGAUAUCGGGAGGAAUACCUAUGGCGAAAGCAGGCUACUGGACCGUCACUGACUCUGAUCUGCGAAAGCUAGGGGAGCAAACAGGAUUAGAUACCCUGGUAGUCCUAGCCCUAAACGAUGCUCAUUAGGUGUGGGAGGUAUCGACCCCUUCCGCGCCGUAGCUAACGCAUUAAAUGAGCCGCCUGGGGAGUACGGCCGCAAGGUUGAAACUCAAAGGAAUUGACGGGGGCCCGCACCAAGCG
rnacentral:rRNA from 1 species